UACAGAGGGGGCAAGCGUUAUUCGGAAUUAUUGGGCGUAAAGGGCGCGUAGGCGGCCUGGCAAGUGGAAGGUGAAAGCCCGGGGCUCAACUCCGGAAUUGCCUUUAAGACUGCAUCGCUAGAAUUGUGGAGAGGUAAGUGGAAUUCCGAGUGUAGAGGUGAAAUUCGUAGAUAUUCGGAAGAACACCAGUGGCGAAGGCGACUUACUGGACACAUAUUGACGCUGAGGUGCGAAAGCGUGGGGAGCAAACAGG
rnacentral:rRNA from 1 species